GAUGAACGCUGACAGAAUGCUUAACACAUGCAAGUCAACUUGAACUUCGGUUUGGGUGGCGGACGGGUGAGUAACGCGUAAAGAACUUGCCUCACAGCUAGGGACAACAUUUGGAAACGAAUGCUAAUACCUGAUAUUAUGAAUUUAGGGCAUCCUAGAAUUAUGAAAGCUAUAUGCGCUGUGAGAGAGCUUUGCGUCCCAUUAGCUAGUUGGAGAGGUAACGGCUCACCAAGGCGAUGAUGGGUAGCCGGCCUGAGAGGGUGAACGGCCACAAGGGGACUGAGACACGGCCCUUACUCCUACGGGAGGCAGCAGUGGGGAAUAUUGGACAAUGGACCAAGAGUCUGAUCCAGCAAUUCUGUGUGCACGAUGAAGUUUUUCGGAAUGUAAAGUGCUUUCAGUUGGGAAGAAAAAAAUGACGGUACCAACAGAAGAAGUGACGGCUAAAUACGUG
rnacentral:rRNA from 1 species